GGGCGUAAGGGAGCGUAGGCGGCGUGGUAAGUCAGAUGUGAAAUCCCGGGGCUCAACCCCGGAACUGCAUCCGAUACUGCCGUGCUUGAGGGUUGGAGAGGUAGCUGGAAUUCUCGGUGUAGCAGUGAAAUGCGUGGAUAUCGAGAGGAACACUCGUGGCGAAGGCGAGCUACUGGACAACAUCUGACGCUGAGGCUCGAAGGCUAGGGGAGCAAAAGGGAUUAGAUACCCCUGUAGUCCUAGCAGUAAACGGUGUGCGCUUGGUGUGAGGGGAUUCGACCCCCCUUGUGCCGGAGCUAACGCGUUAAGCGCACCGCCUGGGAAGUACGGCCGCAAGGCUAAAACUCAAAGAAAUUGACGGGGACCCGCACAAGCGGUGGAGUAUGUGGCUUAAUUCGAUGCAACGCGAAGAACCUUACCAAGGCUUGACAUGCAUCUCUAAGCGCGUGAAAGCGCGUGACUCUUCGGAGGAUUUGCACAGGUGCUGCAUGGCCGUCGUCAGCUCGUGUCGUGAGAUGUUGGGUUAAGUCCCGCAACGAGCGCAACCCCUGUGGACAGUUGCCAGCGAGUAAUGUCGGGGACUCUGUUCAGACUGCCCAGAUCAACUGGGAGGAAGGUGGGGACGACGUCAGGUCAGUAUGGCCCUUACGCCUUGGGCUGCACACGUACUACAAUGCCCAGCACAAUGAGAACCGAGACCGCGAGGUGGAGGAAAUCUAUAAACUGGGCCCAGUUCGGAUUGGAGGCUGCAACUCGCCUCCAUGAAGCCGGAAUCGCUAGUAAUGCUGCAUCAGCUACGCAGCGUGAAUACGUUCCCCGGGUCUUGUACACACCGCCCGUC
rnacentral:rRNA from 1 species